GCAUAUCAAUAAGCGGAGGAAAAGAAACCAACAGGGAUUGCUCUAGUAACGGCGAGUGAAGCAGCAAUAGCUCAAAUUUGAAAUCUGGCGUCUUCGACGUCCGAGUUGUAAUUUGUAGAGGAUGCUUCUGAGUAACCACCGACCUAAGUUCCUUGGAACAGGACGUCAUAGAGGGUGAGAAUCCCGUAUGCGGUCGGAAAGGUGCUCUAUACGUAGCUCCUUCGACGAGUCGAGUUGUUUGGGAAUGCAGCUCUAAAUGGGAGGUAAAUUUCUUCUAAAGCUAAAUAUUGGCCAGAGACCGAUAGCGCACAAGUAGAGUGAUCGAAAGAUGAAAAGCACUUUGGAAAGAGAGUUAAAAAGCACGUGAAAUUGUUAAAAGGGAAGGGAUUGCAACCAGACUUGCUCGCGGUGUUCCGCCGGUCUUCUGACCGGUCUACUCGCCGCGUUGCAGGCCAGCAUCGUCUGGUGCCGCUGGAUAAGACUUGAGGAAUGUAGCUCCCUCGGGAGUGUUAUAGCCUCUUGUGAUGCAGCGAGCGCCGGGCGAGGUCCGCGCUUCGGCUAGGAUGCUGGCGUAAUGGUCGUAAUCCGCCCGUCUUGAAACACGGACCAAGGAGUCUAACAUCUAUGCGAGUGUUCGGGUGUCAAACCCCUACGCGUAAUGAAAGUGAACGGAGGUGAGAACCGCAAGGUGCAUCAUCGACCGAUCCUGAUGUCUUCGGAUGGAUUUGAGUAAGAGCAUAGCUGUUGGGACCCGAAAGAUGGUGAACUAUGCCUGAAUAGGGUGAAGCCAGAGGAAACUCUGGUGGAGGCUCGCAGCGGUUCUGACGUGCAAAUCGAUCGUCAAAUUUGGGUAUAGGGGCGAAAGACUAAUCGAACCAUCUAGUAGCUGGUUCCUGCCGA
rnacentral:rRNA from 1 species